CCUACGGGCGGCUGCAGUGGGGAAUAUUGGACAAUGGGCGAAAGCCUGAUCCAGCCAUGCCGCGUGUGUGAAGAAGGCCUUCGGGUUGUAAAGCACUUUCAGUGGGGAAGAAAGCCUUGGGGCUAAUACCCUCGAGGAAGGACAUCACCCACAGAAGAAGCACCGACUAACUCCGUGCCAGCAGCCGCGGUAAUACGGAGGGUGCGAGCGUUAAUCGGAAUUACUGGGCGUAAAGCGCGCGUAGGCGGUCUGAUAAGCCGGUUGUGAAAGCCCCGGGCUCAACCUGGGAACGGCAUCCGGAACUGUCAGGCUAGAGUGCAGGAGAGGAAGGUAGAAUUCCCGGUGUAGCGGUGAAAUGCGUAGAGAUCGGGAGGAAUACCAGUGGCGAAGGCGGCCUUCUGGACUGACACUGACGCUGAGGUGCGAAAGCGUGGGUAGCAAACAGGAUUAGAUACCCGGGUAGUC
rnacentral:rRNA from 1 species